GGGGAAUCUUCCGCAAUGGACGAAAGUCUGACGGAGCAACGCCGCGUGAGUGAAGAAGGUCUUCGGAUUGUAAAGCUCUGUCAACUAGGACGAAUGUGUGACUUGUGAAUAAUGAGUCAUAAUGACGGUACUAGAGAAGGAAGCCACGGCUAACUACGUGCCAGCAGCCGCGGUAAUACGUAGGUGGCGAGCGUUGUCCGGAAUUAUUGGGCGUAAAGAGCGCGUAGGCGGGUAAAUAAGUCUGUUUUAAAAGUGCGGGGCUCAACCUCGUGAUGGAAUGGAAACUGUUUAUCUUGAGUACCGGAGAGGAAAGUGGAAUUCCCAGUGUAGCGGUGAAAUGCGUAGAUAUUGGGAGGAACACCAGUGGCGAAGGCGACUUUCUGGACGGUGUCUGACGCUGAGGCGCGAAAGCCAGGGAAGUGAAC
rnacentral:rRNA from 1 species